rfam:Sporomusa sphaeroides DSM 2875 SPSPH_contig000006, whole genome shotgun sequence.
UAACUUGUUUUCUAGGGUUCCGCAGUUCGCUGGUCUGGUCCGAGAGAAAACGCAGUCUAGAGACUGUACCACGGAGGGAUAAAAGCCCGGGAGAA